rnacentral:lncRNA from 1 species
GUUCUGGCAGGCUAGUUGGUUCAUUGCGAUAAACUUUCUUAAACUGCGCGGGAAGGCGAAGACACAAGAAAGGAAACAUUCAGAACACCACGAGCGGCG